CAGGGAAUAGUUUAAUUAAAAUUUUAAUUUUGGAGAUUAAGGAUAAAUAAUAUAUUUUUCUCUGA
rnacentral:tRNA from 1 species